rnacentral:lncRNA from 1 species
GGUCACCUGAAUUCUAGCUUGCGCUCUGCCUCUGUCAAACUAUGGGACUUUGCUGGAUCCUCAGGUUCCCCAUCCAUGGAAUGGAAGCUCCUCCCUGUCUCCCCUACUUCUCAGGAAUAUUUUGAGCAUCAUAAAAAUUAAUAAAUGGGGAGGAAGGUCCUUAGCAAGCUAUCAUUUGCUAUACAAAUCUGGCUAUACUUUUAGAACUAGACCUUCAGGGGAGCCAGGUCUGAAAGACCUGAAGUUUCUGAGCUUCCAAGUUUAUCUUCCUUUGCAUAUUUCAUUUGCCUAACUUUAGUGGACAGGAUCAUUAAUAUUAAUGUUCAGGCUUCAUGAAUUAUGCACCUGAACAAAGACAUUUUUCUUCUACCUUUCCCGUCUUAUACUUCAUCUCUCAAGCCCAGUGAGCCUCAACCACUAGCAAAGACCCCACAGAAAAUGAAGAUGUGUCCUUAAGAUAGCAGGACAUGUGGCCGUCCCCACACCAGGCAUCAUCCACUGCCAGCAGAAAGUCUAGACAUAUCCAUAUGCCAGCACGCAUUCACAGUUCCAAGUGCUGAUCUCAGUUUUCACCAAAGUCAGUGGGGACAUUUGCCACCUAGUGACUCAGGCAGAAGAGAGGUUGGACAUGUCCACAAUGGAAGUCUGGUUCCACACUCAGUCAAUGGCUUGUCCACAAAAUAAUGGACCCCAAGGAGGCCCACUGAAGAUAUAACUUCCAAGGGAGAGAAGGGAAAAGCAUAUAUAUUUGGUAAGCAAUGAUGUUUCUACCACAUUUCCACAAUAGUCAACAGGUGCCAAGGGAGGUAGGAGGGAAAUGCUUAUGGUAGGCAGAAUAACACCCCAAGCCCAAAGAGGUCCACCUCAUAACACUUAGAAUCUAUGAAGAUGUACCAUAUGUGACAAUGCAUUAGAGGUUGCAAAGAGAAUUAGACUUCCCGAUCAGCCGACUUCAAGAUAGGUCAAUUAUCCUGGAUUAUCCAGGUGGACCCAGGGUAAUCACAAGCAUUUUUAAGUGGAGAAAGUGGAGAUGGAAGAAAAUGCAUGUCAGAGUGAAAAAAAGCUCAACAUGCCAUUGUUGACUUGAGAGAGGAAAGUAAGCCAAGAGCUAAGGAGUGUGGGCAACCUUUAGAAGAUGGGAAAGGCUUACAUUUUCUCUGAGAGCCUCCAAAAAUGAAUUUGGUCCUAGCAGCACCUUGGUUUUAGCUCAGCAAAACCGACUUCAAAUUCCUGACCUUCAGAACUGAAAUGGAAUAAAUCUGUGCUGUCAUAAACCACUAAGUUUGUGGUUAUUUGUUACAGGAGCCAUAGGAAAAUAAUACAGUGCCAACAUUCAAUAUCAUCUAGAAGUUUCUGAUCAGAGCUUCUGGCUCAUUGCCCUGAAAGCUAGAAUACCUAGAUGCUAAAUCAAUCUGGAGAUUACACAACCAAAGACAUUAUCCCUCUACUAAAACCAGAGAGCUGAAAGAUUUGUCUCUUCUCUGAGUCUCCAGUUAUUCAUCAAUAGGAGGGCUGGACAUUGGUCUCAAGGGUUCUUCUAGAUCUGUAACCAAAGUCUCUGAACAUAUGUUGCCAUUGUAGCUGAUCACCACUCUCCUGACAGUAAUGGAACCACCGAUGUGGCUGCAGAAGACUGGAAAAACAAAUAUCAACCUUGUUUUUAGAGACAAUUCACAGAUACAUGAGACCUUUCAUAAUAUUGCUGUAUUAGGUAUUCAUAGCUCUCUCUAUAAAAAAAUUUCCCAAAGUUCCGGUAGUGGCUUAGUGGCAAUGAACCCAAUUAGUAUCCAUGAGGAUGCAGGUUUGAUCCCUGGCCUUGCUCAGUGGGUUAAGGAUCCAGCAUUUCCAUGAGCUGUGGUGUAGGUCACAGACAUGGCUCGGAUCUUGUGUUGCUGUGGCUGUGGCAUAGGCUGGCAGUUGUAGCUCUGGUUCGAUCCUUAGCCUGGGAAAGUCCCUAUGUCUUGGGUGUAGCCCUGAAAAGCAGGAAAAAAAAAUCCCCAAACUGAACAAGGGACAUAUGUUAUGUCCUAGUUGCUACGGGUAAGGAUUCUGGGCAUACCUCAGCUUGGUACCAAUGGCUCAACAUCUCUCUCUAUCUCACCAUGUUUUAACCAAGGUGUUAGCCAGGUCCACAGUCAAGACCUGACUAGGAGAUAAUGUGUUUCCAAGCUGACUGAUAUGGCUGCUGGCCAACUUCAGAUCCUCAUGGGCUACUGACUGGAGAGAUUAGUUCCCUGUCAUGUGGCCUUUUCAUGGAGCUGCUCACAACACGGCAGCUGGCUUCCCUCCGACUGAGCCAUAGUCUUAAUGGGGUCUAACAUCUGAAGUGACACCUAAUCCUUCUCCUCUAUUAUAUUCAUUAGAAGAGAAUUAAUAAGUCUGGUUUGCAGUCAAUUGCUGGGGGCAGAGGAGGACUCAAGGAAGUAAGUACCAAGAGGCAUGGCGCAUUGUGACGCAUCUAAGGAGUGAAACACCUCAGAUGCCCUCUAUAAUAUGCAGAAUGACGAAUCAGUGGUUAUGCCAAACUAUUACAGAGGAGAAUGAGUUUGAAUCUCAGCUAAGGGAAAAAUAUCAUAUUUUAGUAUGGCUGGUUUGACCAAAAGUCAGGAGAUUGAUAUAAUGAGGUUUGAGUCAUGUCUUCAAACCCCUCCUGGGUCUCCGACAUCAGCCUGGCCUGGGUCUGCUGAGGAUGAAGGAUGGAGCAUUUCAAUUGCACUCUUGGUCCAACCUGCCAUCAUUUCACACCUAGAUGAUUGCAAUAGCUCCUUAAUGGCCUACUGCCUUUCAACUCAUUUUCUUUAAAGUAGCAAGAAUAUCUUUAAAAUAAAUUAUGCUACUCUUCCGCUUAAGAUCUUCCAAUGGUGCUUACGUACUUAGGAGAAAGCCUGAAAUCCUUACCAGCCUUAUAAGACCAGCAUGAUCUGACAGCUGCCUAUCUCUCCAAUCUUGUUUCAGGCUUUUCUUCUCCUUCAUUCCCUACUCUCAAGCCAGCAUAUCCUUCUUUGGGUCCCUUAAUCCUAUCAAAUUAUUUCUUGCCCAGAGCCUUUGUACACUAAUGUUGCUUCUUGCCUGAUACAAGUUUCUUCAGACCUUACCUGGCUAAUUUCUACUUUGUUCAAAUGCCAUCUAUGCAAGUGAUGCUUUGAGUAAUUUUACAGGUGGUUUCCUUGUUUAAGGUCUAUCUCUUUCAUUUGACUUCAAGUUUUCAGGGGAGAAAAUCCAUGUCAUGUAAUGUCACCACUUCAUACCAGUAUUUUUAAAAACUGCCUAGCACAUAGGAGUUCAAUAAAAAGACUAUCCAAACUCUUCUGUGGACAAGCCACAUCUCCUUCCUACAGGUCUAAAAAGAACUAUAUACACAAAGAAAGAAGAACAAGGCAUGGAACAUACACUGGAGUCAAACCAUAGUUAUCACAUAGGAUCUCUUUUUUUCCUAUACGUGUUAGUUUUAAAUAUAUCCUUAAAUCCAUCAAGCUGAAGGUCUACUAUGUCUAUUCCCCCCUCCAUUUUUCAAAUAUGUAUCCUAAUUACUUCAAUGAACCUGGUGGUAUCAGAGAAAAAGGAUAUAGAGGGAAAAAAAUGUUUGUUCCUUGGCAGAGAGCCAAUUUUGCUUAGGCUGCCUGCAGAUUUCUCAGUUGGGGACAGCAUCUAUAGGGGAAAAAGAGAACAGCUAAAAGGAAGAGAAAGAGACAAAUAAGGCUGUACCAUCAUUGACUUAUGGAAGAACGAGAGAAAAGGGCAUAUGUACCAUCUUUUUAUUCCCUUGAAAUUUCUACCCAUCAGGAUCAUUGUCCUCAUAAAAGAGCCUGGAAUAAGGUGACUCAGGUCAACCUCCCUUUUCCAAUUCUUCCUCCCUGAUAGGGGAGUGCUCUACCCUUGACCUUGCUACACCUUUAGAGAGGAUGAAAGACAGGAGUAGGAGAAGGAGGGAUUGGGGCCCUGACUCUGUCCCCUAGAGAACAACAGCAAGAAUUAUUGGAAUGAAGUGGUUCCUGUGUAUGUGGCAAAUUGAGGUGCUAUCUUGGGGAUUUUGUUCUUUCCUCUUAGGUAACACUAAAGUUUAAAGAAUGACUUCAGGUAAGUGAUAUCAUAUGGUAUUUAUCUAUCUCUUUCUGGCCUACUUCAUUUCAUGUGAGAAUCUCUAGUUCCAUCCAUGUCGAUGCAAAUGGCAUUAUUUUUUAUCUUUUUUUAUGGCUGAGUAGUAUUCCAUUUUAUAUAUGUACCACAUCUUCUUAAUCCAUUCACCUGUCAAUGGACAUUUCCUUUGGUAUUGUGAAUAGUGUUGCAAUGAACAUGGGGUACAUGUAUCUUUUUUUAAUGAAAAGUUUGUCCAGAUGUAUGCCCAGGAGUGUGAUUGCUGGAUCAUAUGGUAGUUUCAUAUUUAGUCUUCUGAGGAACCUCCAUAUUUUUUUCCAUAGUGGUUGUACCAAUUUACAUUCCCACAUGGAACAAAAGAACCUACCUUCAAAAACAGACUAAUGGAUAUAAAGAACAGACUUGUGGUCGCCAAGGGGGAGGGGAGAGGGAGUGGGAUGGACUUGGAGUUUGGGAUUAGUAGAUGCAAACUAUUACAUUUAGAAUGGAUAAGAAAUGAGGUCCUACUGUACAGCACAGGGUACUAUAUCCAAUCUCUUGGAAUAGAACAUGAUGGAAGAUAGUAUGAGAAAAAGAAUGUGUGUGUGUGUGUGUGUGUGUGUGGCUGAGUCACUAUGCUGUAUAGCAGAAAUUGACACAACACUAUAAAUUAACUAUAUUCUAAUAAAAAUAAAUUUAAAAAAGAAUGGGAGUUCCCUUCAUGGCUCAGCAGUUAAUGAACCCCACUAGGAUCCAUAAGAAUGUAGGUUCGAUCCCUGGCUUCUUUCAGUGGGUUAAGGAUUUGGUGUUGCCAUGAGUUAUGGUGUAGGUCACAGAUGUGGCUCGGAUCCGGCAUUGUUGUGGCUUUAGCAUAAGCCAGUGACUGUAGCUCCGAUUUGACCGCAGCCUGGGAACAUCCAUAUGCCGCAGGCAUAACCCUAAAAAAAAAAAAAAA